AUUGAACGCUGGCGGCAGGCCUAACACAUGCAAGUCGAGCGGAGCGGGCGACGGGCGAGUGAGUAAUAGGAGUCUGACUGGUAGUGGGGAUUACGUCCGGAAACGGGAGCUAAUACCGCAUACUGUCAGAUGGGCCUAGGUCGGAUUAGCUAGUUGGUGGGGUAAAGGCGUACCAAGGCGACGAUCCGUAACCGGUCUGAGAGGAUGAUCAGUCACACUGGAACUGAGACACGGUCCAGACUCCUACGGGAGGCAGCAGUGGGGAAUAUUGGACAAUGGGCGAAAGCCUGAUCCAGCCAUGCCGCGUGUGUGAAGAAGGUCUUCGGAUUGUAAAGCACUUUAAGUUGGGAGGCGUUACCAACAGAAUAAGCACCGGCUAACUUCGUGCCAGCCGCCGCGGUAAUAC
rnacentral:rRNA from 1 species